rnacentral:rRNA from 1 species
CAUGUCUUUUUGAUAAUAAUUUAAAGUCUAAUCUGCUCAAUGAAAAUUAAAUAGCCGCAGUAUUUUGACUGUGCAAAGGUAGCAUAAUAAUUAGUUUCUUGAUUAGGAGCUGGAAUGAAUGAUUGGACAAGAAAAUUACUGUCUCUUUUUUAAUUUUAUUGAAUUUUAUUUUUAAGUGAAAAAGCUUAAAUUUAUAUAAAAGACGAGAAGACCCUAUAGAGUUUAAUAUUUUUUUAUAAUUUAAAUAUAGAAUAUUUUUUUAUAGUAUUUUAUUUAGUUGGGGUGACUAGGAGAUUUAACUAAUUCUUUUAUAAUUAAAUUGAUAAUUUUUAAUUUAUAUAUCUAUAGUUUAUAAAACUAAAAUAAAUUACCUUAGGGAUAACAGCGUAAUUUUUCUUUAAAGUUCAUAUUAAAAGGAAAGUUUGCGACCUCGAUGUUGGAUUAAAAUUAAUUUUUGGUGCAAAUGCUUAAAAAUUAGGUCUGUUCGACCUUUAAAAUUUUACAUGAUCUGAGUUUAAACCGGUGUGAGCCAGGUUGGAUUCUAUCUUUAAAAAUUAUAAUAUAUUUUAGUACGAAAGGACCAAAUAUAUAUUUUAUUAAUUG